rnacentral:rRNA from 1 species
GUGGGGAAUAUUGGACAAUGGGCGCAAGCCUGAUCCAGCAAUGCCGCGUGGGUGAAGAAGGUCUUCGGAUCGUAAAGCCCUUUCGACAGGGACGAUGAUGACGGUACCUGUAGAAGAAGCCCCGGCUAACUUCGUGCCAGCAGCCGCGGUAAUACGAAGGGGGCUAGCGUUACUCGGAAUUACUGGGCGUAAAGGGCGCGUAGGCGGCUCUGUUAGUCAGGCGUGAAAUUCCUGGGCUUAACCUGGGGACUGCGCUUGAUACUGCAGGGCUUGAGGGCGAGAGAGGGUGGUGGAAUUCCCAGUGUAGAGGUGAAAUUCGUAGAUAUUGGGAAGAACACCGGUGGCGAAGGCGACCACCUGGCUCGGUUCUGACGCUGAGGCGCGACAGCGUGGGGAGCAAACAGGAUUAGAUACCCGAGUAGUCC